rnacentral:tRNA from 1 species
GAGGGUCUAGCUAAGCGGUAGAGCACAUGCUUGGCAUGCAUGAGGUUCUGGGUUCAAUCCCCAGUGCCUCUG